rnacentral:rRNA from 1 species
CACGUAGUUAGCCGUGACUUUCUGGUUGAAUACCGUCACUGUGUGAACAGUUACUCUCACGCACGUUCUUCUUCAACAACAGAGUUUUACGAGCCGAAACCCUUCUUCACUUACGCGGUGUCGCUCCAUCAGGCUUGCGCCCAUUGUGGAAGAUUCCCUACUGCUGCCUCCCGUAGGAGUAUGGACCGUGUCUCAGUUCCAUUGUGGCCGAUCAGUCUUUCAACUCGGCUAUGCAUCAUUGCCUUGGUAGGCCGUUACCCUACCAACUAGCUAAUGCACCGCGGGCCCAUCCUGAAGUGAUAGCCGAAACCAUCUUUACAAACGAAACCAUGUGGUUUCUUGUUAUGCGUAUAGCACUGUUCCAAUGUUACUCCCCGCUUCAGGGCUAGGUUCGCCCACGUUGUUACUCCGACCCGUCCGCCGCUCACUGGUAAUCCAUCGUCACUUCAGUGCAAGCACGCAG